rnacentral:lncRNA from 1 species
UGGAGAUUGAAUCCAGGGCCUUGUGCAAACAAGGCAAGUGUUCAACUGAGCUAUGUCCUCAGCAAUCUCUUCCUUUUGUAAGAUGGAUCCUUAUAGUGGGCAAGUAAGCAGAAUGAGUACAGUAUAGGGAGAAAAGAGAGGUACCAAUGAGAAGAUGAAACAACUUGAGUAGGAGAUAGAAUGAGUAGAGUAUAGCGAGAAAAGAGAAGUACCAAUGAGAAGAUUCAAAGAGGGCUGUGUUUUCUUUAAAGAAGAGACUGUGGAGGUAAAGCAUCAUUGGAGACAUUAAAUAAUUGUUGGGGUUUACUCGCUGUUUCUAAUUUCCUCUAGGUAUGGAUGUGAAAAUAGCAGGUUUUAAGGAAAACAUUCUGUGAUGGAAGAAGCCACAUUAAAUGUUGGAGAAAGUUGCUGAGGCAGGAUCUCAAGAAUGGAGAGGAAGAACCAAUAGACCAGUGAUGUCCUCUGAAACCAGAAAACAUACUUAUUAGGCAGACUUUCCAGAUUUAAUGCUUUUUGUGGUUUUCUAAAACAACAAGAACAGAUCUUCCAUAUCAACCUAAACAAGAGAGAGGUUUCCCUCAAACGUCUGGUUGUCUGUUGCUGAUUAAAAGGAAGGCCAGCUAUGUGUAAUACGG